AAUCAACGCUGGCGGCGUGCCUAACACAUGCAAGUCGAGCGAGAAAGGGUAGCAAUACCUGAGUAAAGCGGCGCACGGGUGAGUAACACGUGGAUAACCUGCCUCGAAGUGGGGGAUAAC
rnacentral:rRNA from 1 species